UAACACAAGGGGAAUCUUGUUUUUUCCUUGGAGGCUGGGGAAGAUCUCACAGAGGAGGUGAUAUUUCUCUGGUGACUUUUCAAAGCCCAAGCCACUCAAAUCUGGAGUGUUUCGUCUGCAUCAAAACGUGCAAGAUAACAAUGAAUGCACAAAAACUGUUGCCUUUUGUGCAAGUGGAUCACAGACUGUCACCACCUUCCAGGAAAUGACUCCUUUGAACUUAGCUUCAACCUUCCCACCUACAAUCAAGGCUUCCCUUUCUCCUUUGUUUUCAAGCUACCAGGAAAACAACCCAGGGAGAAAGUUUUUUUACUGCAAGUUCUGUUGAUUGGGUUGACAAGACUUUGAAAAGUUACAAGGAAGACAGCAUGAAGUGUGGAACAGAAACCAAAGUCCAGAAAAUGCCCUGCAUUCAUUUUUGUAUUUGACCUUGUCAUUAUAACACUCUGCAACAUAACCCUGGUAAGAUAGCACUCAAAUAUUUUUUAUUUUAACAAACUAUUCAAAUAAAGCAU